GAGGCCGAUAGGCGUAGGCGAUGGACAACAGGUAGAGAUUCCUGUACCAGUGCUAAUUGUUUAACCGAUGGGGUGACACAGAAGGAUAGGGAAUCGCACGAAUGGAAAUGUGCGUCCAAGCAGUGAGUGUGAGAAGUAGGCAAAUCCGCUUCUCGCGAAGCAUGAGCUGUGAUGGGGAAGGAAAUUAAGUACGGAAGUUCCUGAUUUCACGCUGUCAAGAAAAGCCUCUAGGAAGAGUAGUACUGCCCGUACCGCAAACCGACACAGGUAGAUGAGGAGAGAAUCCUAAGGUGAGCGAGAGAACUCUCGUUAAGGAACUCGGCAAAAUGACCCCGUAACUUCGGGAGAAGGGGUGCUCUAUUAGGGUGCAAGCCCGAGAGGGCCGCAGUGAAUAGGCCCAGGCGACUGUUUAGCAAAAACACAGGUCUCUGCAAAACCGUAAGGUGACGUAUAGGGGCUGACGCCUGCCCGGUGCUGGAAGGUUAAGAGGAGUGCUUAGCUUCGGCGAAGGUACGAAUUGAAGCCCCAGUAAACGGCGGCCGUAACUAUA
rnacentral:rRNA from 1 species